GUUGCGCAGAGGAGCGAGCGCUGGGCCGCCAUUGGUCGGAGGAGGUGGCGCUGCAUGGGGUGGGACCAGCCUUUUCCGCAGGGAAGAAAGAGUCCCAAAUAUGGAUGAAUUCUCCCAAUCCGCCGGGGUGGUAGAAGAAUGGGAGUAAUUAAUUUAAUUAUGGGUAAAGGGCAGUAAAGGGCAACCCAGACACCUUGGAAAAGUUCCCUUCCUUCAGGCUGUCAAUGAUGCUGAAAGGGCAACAGGAUGACACAGAAGCCGGAUUCUGGUCUCCUCCACAAUCAGAAUGUCUACAGAACAAAAGAGCACAGUACUUUACAUCCUGCCCAACAUUUGCCAUCUUCUGCAAAUUAGAAUCAGGAUGGGAGGUUUGCCAUCUGCAAACAUGUACCCUACCAUGUGUCAAAAAUGGACAUAAUUAGCAUAUUUUACCUGUGAAAUAGGGAUAAUAAUUUGUGAGUCAUUAUGAGGAUCAAAUGAG